UACAGAGGGGGCAAGCGUUAUUCGGAAUUAUUGGGCGUAAAGGGCGCGUAGGCGGCCUGGCAAGUGGAUGGUGAAAUCCCUCGGCUUAACCGAGGAACUGCCAUCCAGACUGCUUGGCUUGAGACCGGGAGAGGUGAGUGGAAUUCCCAGUGUAGCGGUGAAAUGCGUAGAUAUCAGGAGGAACACCGGUGGCGAAGGCGGUCACCUGGCUCGUUACUGACGCUCAGGCACGAAAGUGUGGGUAGCAAACAGG
rnacentral:rRNA from 1 species